AGUGAACGCUGGCGGUAGGCCUAACACAUGCAAGUCGAACGGCAGCACAGUAAGAGCUUGCUCUUACGGGUGGCGAGUGGCGGACGAGUGAGGAAUACAUCGGAAUCUACUUUUUCGUGGGGGAUAACGUAGGGAAACUUACGCUAAUACCGCAUACGACCUACGGGUGAAAGCAGGGGAUCUUCGGACCUUGCGCGAUUGAAUGAGCCGAUGUCGGAUUAGCUAGUUGGCGGGGUAAAGGCCCACCAAGGCGACGAUCCGUAGCUGGUCUGAGAGGAUGAUCAGCCACACUGGAACUGAGACACGGUCCAGACUCCUACGGGAGGCAGCAGUGGGGAAUAUUGGACAAUGGGCGCAAGCCUGAUCCAGCCAUACAGCGUGGGUGAAGAAGGCCUUCGGGUUGUAAAGCCCUUUUGUUGGGAAAGAAAAGCAGCAGGUUAAUACCCCGCUGUUCUGACGGUACCCAAAGAAUAAGCACCGGCUAACUUCGUG
rnacentral:rRNA from 1 species